UCGGGAAUUUUGGGCGAUGGGCGAAAGCCUGACCCAGCAACGCCGCGUGAGGGAUGAAGUAUUUCGGUAUGUAAACCUCGAAAGAAUGGGAAGAAUAAAUGACGGUACCAUUUAUAAGCUCCGGCUAACUACGUGCCAGCAGCCGCGGUAAUACGUAGGGAGCAAGCGUUGUUCGGAUUUACUGGGCGUAAAGGGCGCGUAGGCGGCGCGGUAAGUCACUUGUGAAAUCUCUGAGCUUAACUCAGAACGGCCAAGUGAUACUGCUGUGCUAGAGUGCGGAAGAGGCAACCGGAAUUCUUGGUGUAGCGGUGAAAUGCGUAGAUAUCAAGAGGAACACCGGAGGCGAAGGCGGGUUGCUGGGCCGACACUGACGCUGAUGCGCGAAAGCCAGGGGAGCAAACG
rnacentral:rRNA from 1 species